GGGGAAUUUUGGACAAUGGGCGAAAGCCUGAUCCAGCCAUGCCGCGUGCAGGAUGAAGGCCUUCGGGUUGUAAACUGCUUUUGUACGGAACGAAAAGACUCCUUCUAAUAAAGGGGGUCCAUGACGGUACCGUAAGAAUAAGCACCGGCUAACUACGUGCCAGCAGCCGCGGUAAUACGUAGGGUGCAAGCGUUAAUCGGAAUUACUGGGCGUAAAGCGUGCGCAGGCGGUUAUAUAAGACAGAUGUGAAAUCCCCGGGCUCAACCUGGGAACUGCAUUUGUGACUGUAUAGCUAGAGUACGGCAGAGGGGGAUGGAAUUCCGCGUGUAGCAGUGAAAUGCGUAGAUAUGCGGAGGAACACCGAUGGCGAAGGCAAUCCCCUGGGCCUGUACUGACGCUCAUGCACGAAAGCGUGGGGAGCAAAC
rnacentral:rRNA from 1 species